CUUGAACUCAGCGGAUGGGCCAGGUUACAUCAUGGGAGAGCAGAAGGACAAAACUCGUUAGUUUGGAAGCCUGUUCUGGAGACAGACACGAUGCUUGUUUGUGCACCCAAGUUUUUUUUUUGCCUCCUUCCAUCACAAAGAAGAAUGGAGACAUCGUGCCAUUUGAAUGUGUUCUACUUCCCAGCAGCAUAGACUUAUCAUUAGCAGGAACAAAAAGAACGUGUAAAAGAAAAGGCCACAAAUGAACCUGAGAGAAGAUUUUAUGAUGAUCGUCAGCCAUGAUGUCGCAACUCAGGACAGCUUCAUUGCUCAGAGUAAGCUGGAGGCAUUCCUGAUUUGAAAGCAGAUGGUCAGUAAUGGACAAGAAUAGAAUUAAACAAAAUAUCCAGUGGUUUGAAGAUGUCUUGGAACCAGGUCAUUUAAAAGGUAGAUAAUCCUAAGAGGUCUGACAACCGUAUUAACAUCCAAACCACAAAUGAUGGGUAAUAUGAAAAGCUGGAUUUUCUGACAUACACCCUUUACAUCUGCUUUCUGCAUCAGAGCCAGAAUUAGUUCUACUGUUGUGUUUGUAUUAAAUAUGUGGAUUAAUGGAGCUCAGCGAGAGUGCUGAAUAAGCUCUUCCCAUCUCCAGUGGCUUUGGACGGCAUCUUUCCAUGCAGAGAAAAAUGUGUAGCUUGUUAUAUUCUGUUUCGCACUUGGAAAAACUGUGGCUUGGUACUAAAUCAACAGCUGCUUGUUCAGAAGAAGAGAUUCCAAAGUUCUAUUAGAACUAAGCAAAUUUGGGCUGAGGGCGGCAACAGGGCUGAAAUACUACAAGGAAUCAUUUUGGUUGUGUUGGCUCAGACCGUAGCCCACCAACAGUGCCACUGCUCAAAGAGAACUGACCCCUCUAAUGAAUACCAAAAGACCAGAGUCCCGAUCCAGGAAGAUUUGAUGGCACCUGCAAAUCCAAACAAUGAAGAUAUGUUGCUCCAGUAUCCUGGCUCAGUCACUGCUCAGGGAGCCCAGGGUGACCAGCUUGAUGUAGAAGUGAGCUGUGGAGAUGUCUGAAAUUAGACGAAGCGAAUCCCAUCCCUAAAGCCAGUCUGGGUAGGAGGUAGUGUGGGACGGUGCAAUGCAAGAGUCUACAUGUGAGCUGGAAGUCUGCACUCCCACUGCCGGCGCUGGGGAUCUAGUCAACGUGGUCGGCAGAGCCCAGGAAGCGAUGUGUCUCACUGUAAAGCAGACUCCUACGUUUGGUCAGUGAAUCACUCUCUAUACGCCUACAUUUCAGCGAGAUGGAUCCUAUCCCUGAAGUUAGGAGAGAUGAAUCUCACCCUGAAGUCUUUCUCUUCCUUUUUGUAUCAGCUGC
ensembl:lncRNA